rnacentral:rRNA from 1 species
UACGUAGGGUGCAAGCAUUAAUCGGAUUUAUUGGGCGUAAAGGGCGCGUAGGCGGGAAUGCCAGUCAGAUGUGAAAGCCCGGGGCUCAACCCCGGAACAGCAUUUGAAACUACAUUUCUAGAGGGUAGGCGGAGAAAACGGAAUUCCACAAGUAGCGGUGAAAUGCGUAGAUAUGUGGAAGAACACCAGUGGCGAAGGCGGUUUUCUAGCUUAUACCUGACGGCUGAGGCGCGAAAGCAAGGGGAGCAAACAGGG